AUUGAACGCUGGCGGCAGGCCUAACACAUGCAAGUCGAGCGAGCGGCGGACGGGUGAGUAAUGUCUGGGAAACUGCCUGAUAGAGGGGGAUAACUACUGGAAACGGUAGCUAAUACCGCAUACCAUCAGAUGUGCCCAGAUGGGAUUAGCUAGUUGGUGGGGUAACGGCUCACCUAGGCGACGAUCCCUAGCUGGUCUGAGAGGAUGACCAGCCACACUGGGACUGAGACACGGUCCAGACUCAGACGGGAGGCAGCAGUGGGGAAUACUGCACAAUGGGCGCAAGCCUGAUGCAGCCAUGCCGCGUGUAUGAAGAAGGGCUUGGGGUUGUAAAGUACUUUCAGCGGGGAGGCGUUACUCGCAGAAGAAGCACCGGGUAACUCCGUGCCAGCCGCCGCGGUAAUGC
rnacentral:rRNA from 1 species